rnacentral:tRNA from 1 species
GGGGUUGUGGCUCAGUGGUAAAGCAUUCACCUAGCAUGUGGGAGGCCCUGAGUUCAAUCCUCAGCACCA